UAUACCUACGGGAGGCAGUAGUGGGGAAUAUUGGGCAAUGGGCGCAAGCCUGACCCAGCAACGCCGCGUGAAGGAAGAAGGCUUUCGGGUUGUAAACUUCUUUUCUCAGGGACGAAGCAAGUGACGGUACCUGAGGAAUAAGCCACGGCUAACUACGUGCCAGCAGCCGCGGUAAUACGUAGGUGGCAAGCGUUAUCCGGAUUUACUGGGUGUAAAGGGCGUGUAGGCGGGGACGCAAGUCAGAUGUGAAAACCACGGGCUCAACCUGUGGCCUGCAUUUGAAACU
rnacentral:rRNA from 1 species